AUUCCAUCAACAUCAAUCUCACACUAUUAAGGAAAACUUCAAAACACUCGAGCAAAAAAAUGGUGGAUUCAUUGUUGGGAAACCCGCAACUUCCAAAAGCCAAACUUAUUCAUGGGAAUUGAAUUGCUUUUCAUAGACUCAAAGUUAAUAACCAUUCAAGCGUUUAUUCCGAAACACUUCUUUCCUCGCCGAAUCAG